GGGCGGACAAAAGAGAGACAAUUAAACCAACACGGAAACAAGAUAUUUCGAUUGUCAUAAAUGCUACAAGGGAAGAAAACCGAGAGUGCUGAGAGACUGAGCACUUCCGGACAGCCUCUCCAGGAGUCCAGCUGGAGCCAAGACCCAGAGAAUGAAGAGCAAGAGAGAGUGUUUCAGACAGAGGUCCGAGGGUCAGAGGCUUGAGGUGGAGAAGACACAGCCUUGAGGAUCCCACAGAAGCCAAUGUGGAGACCAGGGCCAGAUCGUUAGGGGAUCGAAGGCCACAGUAUCAACCAUACAGAUGAAGAGCUGAGGCUCAGGGAAGGAAUUUGCCAAGGUCACGAAGCUGUAAGACACAGAACCUGGGGUGUCUGCCUGUAGAGCUCACACUGACUCUACAGCCACUGAUCCAAAGCUUCAAUGAGCAAGAGAUGAAGUGACCCCUCCAACCCCACAGCUCAGCGUCUUUCUUGAAGCUCCAACUCCAGGGCCAUUGUUUUCCUGUUCUCCCCGCUCCAAGGCCUCUCCUCUCUCCUUGGCCCAACUCUCUGACAGUGAUGCAGUUCUGAAGGCCAGACGUCCAAAAUCAGAAUGGCAUUUGCUUGAAGGAUCCAGGGGAGAAUCCCUCCUUGCUUCUUCCAGCUUCUGGUGGCUCAUGGCAAUACCUUGACUUGUAGACAUAUCCCUCCAAUCUCUACUUAUGCCUUCAUAUCACCUUCUCUUCUCUUAUGAGAACAGUUGUCAUUGGAUUUAGGACCCACCCUAAUCGAAGAUGAUCUCACAUGUAGUUUAAUUACAUCUAUAAAAUAUGCUUUUCAGUAAGGUCACUUCCGUGGUUUGAAUGCCCCCUCCAAAACUUAAUGUUGAAACUUAAUCCCCAACGUGGCAGUACUGAGAGGUGGGGCCUUUUAGAGCUGGUUGGAUUGUGAAGGUUCUGUCCUCAUGAAUGGAUUAGUUCCAUUCAUGAAUUAAUAAAUUAAUAGGCUCAUGGAUUAGUGGGUUACCAUGGGAGGGGAACUGGUGGCUUUAUAAGAGGAGGAAGAGAGACCUGGGCUAGUACAUUAAGAUUCUCAGCCCCCUUACCAUGUGGCGACCUGUGCCACCUGGGGACACUGCAGAGUCCCCACCAGCAAGAAGGCUCUCACCAGACUUAGCCCCUCAACAUUGGACUUAGCCUCCAUAACUGUAAGAAAUAAACUCCUUUUCUUCAUAAAUUACCGAGUUUCAGCUAUUCUGUUAUAAAUGACAGAAAACGACUAAGACAGUCACAUUCACAGGUUCUGGGCAGGACGUGUCUUUUGGGGGCCAUUCACCCCCAGGCUUCGUGGUGAAUGACUGACUAGAAGCAGUGCCCUCCAAGUUGGUCCUUCUGAACCCAUCAAUGACAGUGGACAGAAAAGUUGGCCACUGAUUGAACUUCAGAUCUGUCUCGAACAGGGAGCCACUGAUACCUGUGUAGGAACCAGCUCCAUCACCCGGCAUCCCAGCCAGACCCACCACUGCAAAUGUUCCUACAUUUUGCUAUUGCAUAGAAUUUCCCUUUGGGGAUUAUAAAUAUACCUUCUUGCUUAGGUUUUUACUAGAAAAAAGAGAGAGAAGCAAAACAGCAAAGCAAAGCUCAAACCCCACCAGGCUGUGUCACAAAUCUGUGUAUAAUGUUCUCCUGUUGCUCAAGGAAACACCCCCACAAAGGAGUUUUGUUGAAUGCUUUGAACUGUCCCUCAGUGUAGAGGACAUAUUAUGGGGUUGGAACAUCCAACAAUUUCUUUUUGGAAAAUAAACUGGGUCCUGGUCCGGAACAUACCCU
rnacentral:lncRNA from 1 species